rnacentral:lncRNA from 1 species
CGGGUUGUUGGAAUCUCAGGUUCAAUCAGGACCAGGAGUCCCAUUCAUUCGUUUAUGGGAGCGACUCUCUGUUCCCAUUCUCCACCGGGUCAUCAAGUAAUUAGCCAGCUCAAUCCAUUUUUCCAUCCGAUGAUCUUCACCCUAGGACUGACUCUGUUCGACCUGCCUUGAUUGCCUAGCUAAUGCUACCGUCGCAAGCAACCUCUCAAAGAAUAGGGAGUGAACGACCCUUCUAUCUAGAUCGGUGAUUCCGUUCGGCCGAGCCAGCUAUCGAAAGUCUUGCAAGCAACCUACACUAAGCUAAGCGAGCUAGAAGCUAAAGUGAAUCUUUUUUGGCAUCUUUUUCUUUGCUUUGACCGCGACUUUGUUUGGUCUUCCUCUUUCCUUCGGCCCAUCUUUCAAAGCUAGCAAAAAGUUUUCUGCCGAUUCCCCGGGUUGUCGGAAUCUCUGGUUCGAUCAGGACCAGGAGUCCCAUUCAUUCGUUUAUGGGAGCGACUCUCUGUUCCCAUUCUCCACCGGGUCAUCAAGUAAUUAGCCAGCUCAAUCCAUUUUUCCAUCCGAUGAUCUUCACCCUAGGACUG